rnacentral:rRNA from 1 species
UACGGGGGGGGCAAGCGUUGUUCGGAAUUACUGGGCGUAAAGGGCUCGUAGGCGGCCAACUAAGUCAGACGUGAAAUCCCUCGGCUUAACCGGGGAACUGCAUCUGAUACUGGAUGGCUUGAGUUUGGGAGAGGGAUGCGGAAUUCCAGGUGUAGCGGUGAAAUGCGCAGAUAUCAGGAAGAACACCCGUGGCGAAGGCGGCUCUCUGGGACGGUACUGACGCUGAGACGCGAAAGCGUGGGGAGCGAACAGG